UCUCUACCCUUUGUGAACUAUUAUACCUGUUGCUUCGGCGGCGCCCGCAAGGGUGCCCGCCGGUCUCAUCAGAAUCUCUGUUUUCGAACCCGACGAUACUUCUGAGUGUUCUUAGCGAACUGUCAAAACUUUUAACAACGGAUCUCUUGGCUCCAGCAUCGAUGAAGAACGCAGCGAAACGCGAUAUGUAAUGUGAAUUGCAGAAUUCAGUGAAUCAUCGAAUCUUUGAACGCACAUGGCGCCUUCCAGUAUCCUGGGAGGCAUGCCUGUCCGAGCGUCGUUUCAACCCUCGAGCCCCUGUGGCCCGGCGUUGGGGAUCUGCCACGGCAGGCCCCUAAAACCAGUGGCGGACCCGAAGGGCCCUCUCCUUUGCGCAGUAGCAUUCGCCUCGCAUCGGGAGUCCUCGGCGUCCUGCCUCUAAACCCCCCACAAGCCCGCUUCGGCGGCACCAAGGUUGACCUCGGAUCAGGUAGGAAUACCCGCUGAACUUAAGCAUAUCAAUAAGCGGAGGA
rnacentral:rRNA from 1 species